rnacentral:rRNA from 1 species
AGGAGGGGGGCAGCUACACAUGCAGUCGAGCGGGGAGAUGUAGCUUGCUACAUUUCCUAGCGGCGGACGGGUGAGUAAUGCUUAGGAAUCUGCCUAUUAGUGGGGGACAACAUUCCGAAAGGAAUGCUAAUACCGCAUACGCCCUACGGGGGAAAGCAGGGGAUCUUCGGACCUUGCGCUAAUAGAUGAGCCUAAGUCAGAUUAGCUAGUUGGUGGGGUAAAGGCCUACCAAGGCGACGAUCUGUAGCGGGUCUGAGAGGAUGAUCCGCCACACUGGGACUGAGACACGGCCCAGACUCCUACGGGAGGCAGCAGUGGGGAAUAUUGGACAAUGGGCGAAAGCCUGAUCCAGCCAUGCCGCGUGUGUGAAGAAGGCCUUUUGGUUGUAAAGCACUUUAAGCGAGGAGGAGGCUUCUUGGAUUAAUACUCUAGGAUAGUGGACGUUACUCGCAGAAUAAGCACCGGCUAACUCUGUGCCAGCAGCCGUGGUAAUACAGAGGGUGCGAGCAUUAAUCGGAUUUACUGGGCGUAAAGCGUGCGUAGGCGGCUUCUUAAGUCGGAUGUGAAAUCCCUGAGCUUAACUUAGGAAUUGCAUUCGAUACUGGGAAGCUAGAGUAUGGGAGAGGAUGGUAGAAUUCCAGGUGUAGCGGUGAAAUGCGUAGAGAUCUGGAGGAAUACCGAUGGCGAAGGCAGCCAUCUGGCCUAAUACUGACGCUGAGUACGAAAGCAUGGGGAGCAAACAGGAUUAGAUACCCUGGUAGUCCAUGCCGUAAACGAUGUCUACUAGCCGUUGGGGUCUUUGAGGCUUUAGUGGCGCAGCUAACGCGAUAAGUAGACCGCCUGGGGAGUACGGUCGCAAGACUAAAACUCAAAUGAAUUGACGGGGGCCCGCACAAGCGGUGGAGCAUGUGUUUAUUCGAUGCACGCGAGACUUACUGUCUGACUAGUAGACCUUCAGAGAUGAUGAUGCUCGGGACUACAUACAGUGCUGCAUGCUGUCGUCAGCUCGUGUCGUGAGAUGUU